GCACUUUGGCGGAGUGGUUAACGCGCUGCCCUGCUAAGGCAGUUCCGUACGUCCAACGUUCGACCCCACCCACUCAGUGCA